rnacentral:rRNA from 1 species
UACGUAGGGGGCAAGCGUUAUCCGGAUUUACUGGGUGUAAAGGGAGCGUAGACGGCAGAGAAAGUCUGAAGUGAAAGCCCGCGGCUCAACCGCGGAACUGCUUUGGAAACUUUUCGGCUAGAGUACCGGAGAGGUAAGCGGAAUUCCUAGUGUAGCGGUGAAAUGCGUAGAUAUUAGGAGGAACACCAGUGGCGAAGGCGGCUUACUGGACGGUAACUGACGUUGAGGCUCGAAAGCGUGGGGAGCAAACAGG